rnacentral:rRNA from 1 species
UACGUAGGGUGCAGGCGUUAAUCGGAAUUACUGGGCGUAAAGCGUGCGCAGGCGGUUUCUUAAGUCGGAUGGGAAAGCCCCGGGCUUAACCUGGGAACUGCGUUUGAAACUGGGAGACUUGAGUGUGGCAGAGGGGGGUGGAAUUCCACGUGUAGCAGUGAAAUGCGUAGAUAUGUGGAGGAACACCGAUGGCGAAGGCAGCCCCCUGGGUUAACACUGACGCUCAUGCACGAAAGCGUGGGGAGCAAACAGG